AUCCGUUUUUGGUGUCUUUAGUCAUGAUUUUUGUUGUUAACUAUAUUAUGCACAGCAUUACCUGCGAACAGGCAUACUCUGGCGCCCGGAAUUUUGGGUUUUCUGAUUAUGCGUGUCUCAGAAUGAUGCAAAUGCUAUUUCCGGGAUUCAAAUUUAAAAAUUUUCCGUGCCUUCGGCACGAGCCCUCCCCCCAAUAUUUCAUAAAGUGUCCGCCACUUGCACACACAGUGGCUUAAAAGGUCUUAAAACUGUUUAUUCUACCGAUAAAUAAAGGGUUUUUAUUGCCUGGGAUUUCAAUAACUCGGACUGGGAUUUCUAAUAAAAAUCCAACUGGAACUGGGAUUUUGCCAAAAUUUCAGGUGGAAAAUAGGAUUGGGACCCCCCCCUCCACUUCAGGACCCUCACUAUAGGCUAAUGACUCGGCAAAAUUACCAAACAACAGUCGGCAAAAGAUCACUCACACCUCGAAGAGGGUUAGCGCCGCCCCUGCGCAGCUAGCACUGAUCAAGACACGGGCUUACGAAAGGGAAGCUUUGGGAAAGAAAUGAAUUAAUGUAAUG